rnacentral:rRNA from 1 species
UUCGCAAUGCCCGAAAGGGUGACGAAGCGACGCCGCGUGGGUGAGGAAGGCCCUCGGGUUGUAAAGCCCUGUCAGGAGUUAAGAAAUGUAGAUACGCUAAUAUCGUAUCUAUUUGACAAAGGCUCCAAAGGAAGCCACGGCUAACUCUGUGCCAGCAGCCGCGGUAAUACAGAGGUGGCAAGCGUUGUUCGGUAUUAUUGGGCGUAAAGAGCACGUAGGUGGUUUUGUAAGUCAGAUGUGAAAGCCUUCUGUUCAAGGGAAGAACGGCAUCUGAAACUGCAGAUCUUGAGUGUAGGAGGGGAGAGUGGAACUUCUGGUGGAGCGGUGAAAUGCGUAGAUAUCAGAAGGAACGCCGGCGGCGAAAGCGAUUCUCUGGCCUAUUACUGACACUCAGUGUGCGAAAGCUAGGGGAGCAAACGGGAUUAGAUACCCCGGUAGUCCUAGCCGUAAACGAUGGGCACUAAGUAGAGGGGUUUU